UACACUUUUGGUUAUGUUGGUGUUUUCCACAAACAGGAAAACUUUCAAUAUCAACCUGGGAAGUCCUGAGAUACAAACUCACAUUGGGGAUAAAGGAGACACAUGAAGUUUAACAAUUUGCACAAGAAGGACAUAACUCAUUCAUCAUAAAGAGAUGAUCCAUGGAGGGUGCCACAAACACGAUGCACAACCGCUACGAAUGGGAAGCUUCCACAAGGUGAGAUGGUACCAUCACUCUUCAAUUAAGGUAACAUCUUAAGGUACUUGACUAUCACUUUUAUAAGUUUCUCCUUGGUUCUGGCGUUCACAUAAAAUAAAGAGACAAACAUGUAUGAUUUAUAACUCCAAAUUAACCAACUCAAUUAAUUCAACAUGUUUAGUCCUUUAAUCUUUGUUCUUACGUGAUCCCACACUCCUAAUCAUAUAAGCUAAUAUGUUGCAAAUUCAAUCUUUGGAAGAUAUAAGCAAAACAUAAAUAUAGAUAGAUUAUCUUUCCAUUAGGUCAAGCAAUCUGAUCUGACAAAUGUUUCAAAUACUACAUUCACGAUCCAUCAACUUUGUCUUGCUCACUAUGCUUAAGGAUUAGAGAAGAACAAAUACACUUUUGGUUCUGUUGGUGUUUUCCACCAACAGGGCCCAUGCACUUGAUCUCUGCCUUGUCUCUAUGAACAGGUACACUUCAAGCAAAACAUGGAGGAGUUUUACAACUCCCAGACUCCACCAAGUGAAGGACCUGGAUCUAUGAGCACAAACACACUGAGCAGGGUAUUGCCAACACCGCACUUCGAACUACUGUGCAAUCGAAGAACGUGGGUGACUCCAUUUCAAGAGGUGCAAAUGUCAAGGUCCACACCUAAUCAAAUAAUGCAACUAAAGGAUGAAGAGAGUGAGAAGUCUUGACCAGAAUACUUAAAACAUUGGAUCCUUGUCGGAGGAGGUCAAGAUCAUCGACUCAAGUCACCUUUCUUGAUCAAGAAGGACGACCCUGGUGUUCCAAGCAUUGAGUGCACAAUCAACAGAUACUCUUUUUAGAAGACACUCUACGACACCGGAUCUGACGACAACAUAAUGGCCGCAGUCACUUAUCAGCUCCUGCAUGGAACCAUGCCCCUACAACCAAUAUAUAUUCAGCUCCAGAUGAUUUUCAGAACAUUGACAUGGGAGAAGACGAGUACGAUCCACCCAUCAUCCUUGGAAGACCAUUCCUCAACACUAUCAAAGUUAUCAUCUACAUUGGAACCGGAGAAGUCCACAUGCACUUCCCCUCUGAGAAGGUACGCCGCUAUUUUACUGACCCUAACUAUUUAGUUGAAGACUCUAAGCAGGUUAGGACAAGAAGAAGACAACCCAACCGCAACCAGAGGAGGCAAAUCAUCAAGGACAGAUGGGUAGACUACGAAGGAGAAGUGAUAAGGUCUGAAGACAUACAGCUUGAACAGAACUGUCCUGAGGAGACUGUAGCACCAAGUUAGGUGUGGAGAGAGAAGAUAGUUAUACACGAAGAAGAGGCGCCACCGGAAUCACCGACUACGCCACCUAGCGAAUCCCAGGACGACUGAAAACACAAGGAGUCCCGUUCGGAGGACUUAAAAACACCGAACGCCUUGCCAAGAGGUAAACCUGGUAGUUAUCCUUUUUCUUUCAAUUAUUCAAUUAUAGUUUGCUUAGUUAAUCAGGUUCAUGCUAUCUUGAAAAGAAAAUAAAAAUGUUAAAAAAAAUAGUAAGCCCCAUGUGAGUAUGCUCAUGGCAUAAAACCCAUAAGUAAAUUCACUGUGAUGGCAUAAAAAUAAAAUAAAUAAGUUUUCAUCUUACAAUAAAAAUAUAAAAAUAAUAAGUGCAUGAUCCUGCUAAAUAAGUAACAUUUAUUGAGGAGGCUCAACAUGAUAAAGGCUAGAUAUUUAUGCUAACACUUAACCAGUUCCACAAAGCUUUGUUGUCUAUUUGAGCUCCACAGAAUUCAAGGAUCAAAGAAGACUAGCAGACGGAGGACAUCCUAAUCGCUGUCAGGGUGCUGCCGACAUUCAAAUACACCUACAUCACCUCCUAGCUACAUAAGAAGAAAUUACGUCAAAAUCCAGCUUGGGGGAGAGCACCCCC
rnacentral:lncRNA from 1 species